rnacentral:rRNA from 1 species
AUGAAAUCCAUUCCGAUCCGCAAGGACGACGAGAUGCAGGUCGACUGCUACCUUCUCUUUCGGAGCUACGCCACAAAUACAACAUGCUCUGCAAGGAUGACGAGGUGCAGGUCGACUGCUGCCUUCUCCUUCGGAGCUACGCCACAAAUACAACAUGCGCUCUGCAAGGACGACGAGGUGCAGGUUGACUGCUGCCUUCUCCUUCGGAGCUACACCACAAAUACAACGUGCGCUCUGCAAGGACGACAAGGUGCAGGUCGACUACUGCCUUCUCCUUCGGAGCUACGCCACAAAUACAACGUGCGCUGCAUCCCGAUCCGCAAGGACGCAGGUCGAUUGCAAUCUGUGCUCCAUCCCUACCUGCAAGAGCGAUGA